rnacentral:rRNA from 2 species
AAAUUGAAGAGUUUGAUCAUGGCUCAGAUUGAACGCUGGCGGCAGGCCUAACACAUGCAAGUCGAACGGUAACAGGAAGAAGCUUGCUU